AGUGAACGCUGGCGGUAGGCCUAACACAUGCAAGUCGAACGGCAGCACAGUAAGAGCUUGCUCUUACGGGUGGCGAGUGGCGGACGGGUGAGGAAUACAUCGGAAUCUACUUUUUCGUGGGGGAUAACGUAGGGAAACUUACGCUAAUACCGCAUACGACCUACGGGUGAAAGCAGGGGAUCUUCGGACCUUGCGCGAUUGAAUGAGCCGAUGUCGGAUUAGCUAGUUGGCGGGGUAAAGGCCCACCAAGGCGACGAUCCGUAGCUGGUCUGAGAGGAUGAUCGGCCACACUGGAACUGAGACACGGUCCAGACUCCUACGGGAGGCAGCAGUGGGGAAUAUUGGACAAUGGGCGCAAGCCUGAUCCAGCCAGACCGCGUGGGUGAAGAAGGCCUUCGGGUUGUAAAGCCCUUUUGUUGGGAAAGAAAAGCAGCAGGUUAAUACCCAGCUGUUCUGACGGUACCCAAAGAAUAAGCACCGGCUAACUUCGUG
rnacentral:rRNA from 1 species